UAGGGGGUAGUAUAAUUCGAAAUGCGUAAAAUUUUGAGUUUUUUGAUGUUGGUUCGAUUCCUUCUCCCCUAU
rnacentral:tRNA from 1 species